AAACGCUACUUUUCUUAUUUUAUCGUUUCACGCGCUCUCUUCUCCGCCGUAGGAAAUGCUAAGGUUUCUAUCGAUUCACUAAUCCAUCAAUCAAUCUGCACAAUAGCGAAUAUAGAGUUUGGAGCAAUUUAUUUAUCUUCUUCCUACUGAUCCAAUCUAAAAAUCAAUCGGUGGAGGUUCCACUAUAAUAAGGCUGAAGAAGCUAGACACGAGUAAAGGAUGAGGAGUGCUAGGCAGACAAGUGGAAGUUGAAAGAAGAAGAAAAGGCUCAACAAGCCUAAAAAGAAGAUACAGCUGCCUUAAAGUUUGAAUAACCAAACACUUUUCCACCCCUCCCAUUCUAACUGUCAUUUUGCCAACAUAAACAAACUUCACGGUGAAGGAUAGAUACAAUACAAGUAUUAUGGACAUCAACAGCAGUUUGCAGAGGGACGGUGUCUUAGUACAUCUUCAUCAUAAAGAAGGUAUGCAGUUUCAGAUGGGAGAGAUCGGGAGAGGUCAUUUUGGUUACACUUGCUCUGCUAGCCUAAGUUAAAGAAAGACGACAGUGCAUGCCCAACAGUACCAGAAGCAACAAGAACAAACAACUGCUAUUCUCAGAAGAUCCUGCUCACUUGGAACGCUCGAUCCGCAAAGACCAACGUUCCACAUCGAUCGACGCAGCAUCUUUCACGUCGACCGAUUCUCGCACCCACCCGUCGACCGAUACCCGACCUUCAUCGUUGACCGAUCUACAUCGUUCGCCAUCGAUCGACACUACAUCUCGUACAUCGAUCGAUCCUCAUUCGCGAAGCAUGGUUGCGAUUGUUAUUCUCUGACAGGACGAGAAUGGAAACCUGUAUGACCAGGAUGGUCAUCUACGUAAUGCAACAGGUCAGAAACUGGACACUCAGGGGAAUGUAAUCCCUGAUACUCAUGCUACAAGAGCUGCUCAACCUGUAGAAGAGGCUGCUCGACCAAGGGCACUGGCCGACUACAAUCGUCCAGAUAAGUACUACGCCAACAGAUCAUCUGUUCGACUUCCAGAGAUUCAGAAGCAGAAUUUCGAGCUGAAGCCUCAGUACUACACACUCGUGUCACAGAUACCGUACUCUGGGUUACCGCACGAGCAUCCUAUGGACCAUCUUGAGAGGUUCGAGGAUCUUAUCGCUGCUAUUCGUAUGGAUGGAGUCCCUGAGGACUACCUAUUGUGCAAGCUCUUCAAGUAUUCUCUGACUGGAGAAGCGAUGCACUGGCUUAAGCAGCUAUCCACAGGAUCUCUAACAUCCUGGGCCGAAAUCAAGAAUGCUUUCUUGCGAAACUUAUUCGAUGAGGCACGCGCAGGAGACUUGAGAAGCAAAAUCGCUACAUUCGCGCAAGAGACAUGAGAGUCUUUCAAAGACGCGUGGAUCAGAUUCAAGUUCUUCCAGCGAGACUGUCCACACCACGGAUUCAACGAAGUGCAACUGCUGAGCACGUUCUUCGGAGGUAUCGCCUUGAGGUAUCAGAUGGCUCUUGAUACAGCUAGCGGGGUAAACGGCAACACCAGGAAUCCGGUGGAAGCUGUGAGACUGAUAGAAAAUCUAGCAAACAACAGCAACAUCAAGAACACUGACUUUGAAAGAAAGAAGUCUGUUGCAUCCCUAGGGAAGGAGCAGAUGGACGAAGUUAGAGCAAAGUUAGAUGUGG